rnacentral:snoRNA from 1 species
GGGAAAUGAGGAGUGGUACAGGCUCGCAAAUUUCAAAAUGCGAGAGGGGUGCCCGCCCCAACCAAGCCUGUUACGACACUGGGGCAUCCCCGUGACUCACCAUCUGAUCCC